UAGAAAUUAACGUCACUGAGAGUGCCACUUUUCCCGAUUCUUAACUAUCAUCUUAUGUAAAUUUGUAACAUGAUCAAUUUCUAAGCAUUUGGAUGUAAAAAUAGAAUUAUCUGAUUGAUUGCGCGGGCGAAGUUGAUUUAAAAUAAUACCGAAGCACCAGUCGUAUCACGAAAGAUUAUUGGUCGAGGAUUUGAUUCUUUUGUUUCGACGAAUACAUUAAACAUCCACCAUCCCUCUC
rnacentral:lncRNA from 1 species